rnacentral:rRNA from 1 species
CAUGGUUGUCGUCAGCUCGUGUCGUGAGAUGUGGGUUAAGUCCCGCAACGAGCGCAACCCUCGACCUUAGUUGCCAGCAUUCAGUUGGGCACUCUAAGGUGACUGCCGGCUAAAAGUCGGAGGAAGGUGGGGAUGACGUCAAAUCAUCAUGCCCCUUAUGACCUGGGCUACACACGUGCUACAAUGGGCGGUACAAAGGGUCGCGAACCCGCGAGGGGGAGCCAAUCCCAAAAAGCCGCUCUCAGUUCGGAUUGCAGGCUGCAACUCGCCUGCAUGAAGCCGGAAUCGCUAGUAAUCGCGGAUCAGCAUGCCGCGGUGAAUACGUUCCCGGGCCUU